rnacentral:tRNA from 1 species
GUGGGUAUAGCUCAGUGAUAGAGUGGAUGCUUGGCAUGUGCAAGGUCCUGGGUUCAAUUCCUAGUACCUCCA